GAUGAACGCUGGCGGCGUGCCUAAUACAUGCAAGUCGAGCGAACGGACGAGAAGCUUGCUUUCCUGAUGUUAGCGGCGGACGGGUGUGUAACACGUGGAUAACCUACCUAUAAGACUGGGAUAACUUCGGGAAACCGGAUCUAAUCCCGGAUAAUAUUUUGAACCGCAUGGUUCAAUAGUGAAAGACGGUUUUGCUGCCACUAAUAGAAGGUUCCGCGCUGCAUUAACUAGUUGGUAAGGUAACGCCUUACCAAGGCAACGAUGCAUAGCCGACCUGAGAGUGGUCUCGGCCACUGGGAAUCUGAGACACGGCCCAGACCCCUACGGGGGGCAGGAGGGGGAAAUUUUGCGCAAUGGGGGAAAGCCUGCCGGAGCAACGCCGCGAGAGUGAAAAGGGUCUGGGGCUCGAAACACUGUGUUAUGAGGGAAAAGCAUAUGUGUAUGUAACGGUGCACCUGUUACCGGUACCUAAUCAGAAGGCCAGGGUAACCUACUG
rnacentral:rRNA from 1 species